UACAGAGGUCCCAAGCGUUGUUCGGAUUCACUGGGCGUAAAGGGUGCGUAGGCGGUCGGGUAAGUCUGAUGUGAAAUCUCACAGCUUAACUGUGUAAACUGCAUUGGAUACUAUCCGGCUCGAGGAAUGGGAGGGGAGACUGGAAUACUUGGUGUAGCAGUGAAAUGCGUAGAUAUCAAGUGGAACACCAGUGGCGAAGGCGAGUCUCUGGACAUUUCCUGACGCUGAGGCACGAAAGCCAGGGGAGCAAACGGG
rnacentral:rRNA from 1 species